GACGAACGCUGGCGGCGUGCUUAACACAUGCAAGUCGAGCGGAGCGGCGAACGGGUGUGUAACACGUGAGUGAGUGCCCCCCUCUCCGGGGUCACAGUUGGAAACGGCUGCUAAUACCGGAUAGUGGGGGAUGACUCGCGUCCUAUCAGCUUGUUGGUGGGGUAGUGGCCUACCACGGCGACGCCGGGGUGCCGGCCUGGGAGGGGGACCGGCCCCAUUGGGCUGAGGUACGGCCCAAAUUCCAACGGGAGGCAGCGGUGGGGAAUAUAGCACAAUGGGGGAAACCCUGAUGCAGCAACGCCGCGUGCGGGAUGACGUUUUUCGGGUUGUAAACCGCUUUAAGCCAUGACGCGGUAGUGGCAGAAGAAGCACCGGCUAACUACGUGCCAGCAGCCGCGGUAAUUC
rnacentral:rRNA from 1 species